GAUGAACGCUGGCGGCGUGCCUAAUACAUGCAAGUCGAGCGAACAGACGAGGAGCUUGCUCCUCUGACGUUAGCGGCGGACGGGUGAGUAACACGUGGAUAACCUACCUAUAAGACUGGGAUAACUUCGGGAAACCGGAGCUAAUACCGGAUAAUAUAUUGAACCGCAUGGUUCAAUAGUGAAAGACGGUUUUGCUGUCACUUAUAGAUGGAUCCGCGCCGCAUUAGCUAGUUGGUAAGGUAACGGCUUACCAAGGCAACGAUGCGUAGCCGACCUGAGAGGGUGAUCGGGCACACUGGAACUGAGACACGGUCCAGACUCCUAAGGGAGGCAGCAGUAGGGAAUCUUCCGCAAUGGGCGGAAGCCUGACGGAGCAACGGCGCGUGAGUGAUGAAGGUCUUCGGAUCGUAAAACUCUGUUAUUAGGGAAGAACAAAUGUGUAAGUAACUAUGCACGUCUUGACGGUACCUAAUCAGAAAGCCACGGCUAACUACGUG
rnacentral:rRNA from 1 species